CAGCCGCCACGGUAAUACGAAGGGGGCUAGCGUUGUUCGGAAUUACUGGGCGUAAAGCGUACGUAGGCGGAUUGUUAAGUGAGGGGUGAAAUCCCGAGGCUCAAACUCGGAACUGCCUUUCAUACUGGCAAUCUUGAGUCCGGGAGAGGUGAGUGGAACUCCUAGUGUAGAGGUGAAAUUCGUAGAUAUUAGGAAGAACACCAGUGGCGAAGGCGGCUCACUGGCCCGGAACUGACGCUGAGGUACGAGAGCGUGGGGAGCAAACAGGAUUAGAUACCCCUGUAGUCCCUGUCUCUUAUAC
rnacentral:rRNA from 1 species